AUUGAACGCUGGCGGCAGGCCUAACACAUGCAAGUCGAACGGUAACAGGAAGAAGCUUGCUUCUUUGCUGACGAGUGGCGGACGGGUGAGUAAUGUCUGGGAAACUGCCUGAUGGAGGGGGAUAACUACUGGAAACGGUAGCUAAUACCGCAUAACGUCGCAAGACCAAAGAGGGGGACCUUCGGGCCUCUUGCCAUCGGAUGUGCCCAGAUGGGAUUAGCUAGUAGGUGGGGUAACGGCUCACCUAGGCGACGAUCCCUAGCUGGUCUGAGAGGAUGACCAGCCACACUGGAACUGAGACACGGUCCAGGCUCCUACGGGAGGCAGCAGUGGGGAAUAUUGCACAAUAGGCGCAAGCCUGAUGCAGCCAUGCCGCGUGUAUGAAGAAGGCCUUCGGGUUGUAAAGUACUUUCAGCGGGGAGGAAGGGAGUAAAGUUAAUACCUUUGCUCAUUGACGUUACCCGCAGAAGAAGCACCGGCUAACUCCGUG
rnacentral:rRNA from 1 species